UCCCGCCCUGAAAUAAGUUGAUGGCAGUUAUGGCAUGGGCUGAUCUACCCAGUCAGCAAGGCCAGAUUGCAGAGAAACUCAGAGUCUAGGAAAAUGAAUGUCUAGGAACAUUCCUCAAAUAGUCCUACCAGAAGACACAAAGAUGAUGCAUCCGGAUGAAGAAUAUAUCACUGAGAUUAAUGGCCCUGGGUUGCAGCCAAAAGCAUCUCAGAGGUAGAACACUGUUGCAGAUGGUGAUGUUACCAUUUGAAAGUAAGAAGAAAACUAGUAUCUCUUUACACCAAGAGUAAAAAUAGAGAAGAUGCUUACAAACUGCAACACAUAGAGUUUCUUGAAAUCACAGUUUGGGAGUGGAGGAAAAGGCUGCUUAAGUGUUUGGAAAGGGAGAGUAAGGAUGAAAUAGAGUGGGGGUAUGAUGCAUUUCCUGACUGUGGUCGGCUUUCCAUGGGUGAAACAGAAAAGUCUUCAAAUAUCCUCACCAACUGCUUUCCUAGAUUUUUCAGCCAGUUACUUGACCAUAUUAGGAAAAGAAAGCAUACUACACCCAUCUCAGAGCUGGCCUCUUGAGGUAGCCACACCGCCACAGGAACCAUUGUAAUCUCUGCAUCAAGUUCAAGUUCACAAAUAAGCAAAGAGUAGCUCCCCUGAGCAGAGAACCAUAACAGAAUUAAGGAAAGAUAUUUCCAUUCCAGAGACCAGACAUUUGGAGGACAGUGAGUAUAAAUCAUGAACCUAGCCAAUUAUUUUAUUUCUUAUUGGAUUCUUGACUGUUUCUUACUUUCAUCAUUUCGUGAGUCAUGACUAACAGUGCUUGUGCUCAUCUACAGUAAUUGAUUCUGAGAGAAAUUUCUCCAAGGAUUCCUGCAGUUCUCCUUUGAACAUACGAAGAGGGAACAUUCUUUCAGUCCUAGAAGUUGCUGAAGCAGAGAUGGAGAACCCCAGACUGGAGGGCUUUGAUUUCACCCUGCACAUCUAAGGGCAUAAAUUGGUUCCAGGUCAGGAUCAUAUGAGCAUAAGUCUGAGUUGGGUGUCUCUGAUCAUUCCAGAAUUCCAUUGGAAGGCAGACUUAUAUUCCUGAGAAGCAGGAAUGAGAAGCACAGUGGAAUUUUGCAAAGGAAACAGAACUUGAACUCAGCAGUCGUAGGUGCCAGUCCUUGACUAGCUAUAAUAUUGGGCAAGUCAUAUAAAUUCUCCAGGCACAGUGUCCCUUUUGGCAAACAACAGACAGAAUAUAAAUAUGUGUUGCCAGGUCAGUGGACAUUUCAAGGACAGUUUGAUUUUAAUGUGAAGUCAUCUAAUUUUAAAUGCUCUAUUAAAUUUUAUUUUUUUUAGUUGUAUAAGCUUAAGAACAGGUAUCAGACAAGACUUCUU
rnacentral:lncRNA from 1 species